rnacentral:rRNA from 1 species
AAAGAUUAAUCCAUGCAUGUGUAAGUAUAAGUAUUGUACAGCGAAACUGCGAAUGGCUCAUUACAUCAGUUAUUAUUUAUUUGAUAAUCGAAAGUUACAUGGAUAACCGUGACAAAUUACAGCUAAUACAUGCAGUCAGACCUGGUCCAAGGUCGUAAUUAUUAGUAUUAAACCAUUUCCGCAAGGAAUGUGAUGAAUCAUAAUAAUCGAACGAAUCGCCUGGUGUGCGAUAAAUCAUUCAAGUUUCUGCCCUAUCAGCUUUGGAUGGUAGUGUAUUGGACUACCAUGGCAGUCACGGGUAACGGAGAAUUAGGGUUCGAUUCCGGAGAGGGAGCCUGAGAAACGGCUACCACAUCUACGGAAGGCAGCAGGAGCGAAAAUUGCCCAAUCCUGACACAGGGAGGCAGUGACAAGAAAUAUCAACUCUUGGAUUUCUAAGAAGUGAAAUGAGGAUAAUUUACAACCCUUACCGAAAGCAAUUGGAGGGCAAGUCUGGUGCCAGCAGCCGCGGUAAUUCCAGCUCCAAUAGCGUAUAUUAAAGUUGUUGCAGUUAAAAAGCUCGUAGUUGAAGUUCUGGCUGUUCGAUCCUCGAGCUCUGUAGCCGAGGACUCGACAGUCAUCCGCUUGCAAAUAUAUGUUCGCCUUUAACCGGGUGGCUAUAUGAGCAAGCAAUUUACCUUGAGAAAAACAGAGUGUUCCAGGCAGGUUUGUCCGGAAUGCAUUAGCAUGGAAUAAUAGAAUAUGACUGAAGUCAAUUUAUUGGUUUAGGGCUUUAGUAAUGAUUAAUAGGAACAGUCGGGGGCAUUGGUACUUGACAGUCAGAGGUGAAAUUCUAGGAUUUGUCAAAGACUAACAAAUGCGAAAGCAUUUGCCAAGGAUGUUUUCAUUAAUCAAGAACGAAAGUUAGGGGAUCAAAGACGAUCAGAUACCGUCCUAGUCUUAACUAUAAACUAUACCGACUCGGAUUCGGAUGAAUCAAAAAGUUCAUUCGGGACCGUAGGAGAAAUCAAAGUUUUUGGGUUCUGGGGGAAGUAUGGUCGCAAGGCUGAAACUUAAAGGAAUUGACGGUUUUGCACCACCAUGGAGUGGAGUCUGCGGCUUAAUUUGACUCAACACUGGGAAACUCAUCAGGGCAAGAAGAUUUUAGGAUUGACAGAUUGAGAGUUCUUUCUUGAUUGGUCUAGUGGUGGUGCAUGGCCGUUCUUAGUUGGUGGAGUGAUUUGUCUGGUUAAUUCCGUUAACGAACGAGACCUUAACCUGCUAACUAGUACUUCGAUGCACAAUCGUUGUUACUUCUUAGAGGGGCUAUGUGAUGUAAUCACAUGGAAGUUUGAGGCAAUAACAGGUCUGUGAUGCCCUUAGAUGUCCUGAGCUGCACGCGUACUACAAUGGUGCUUUCAACGAGCUUUUCCUGAUCCGAAAGGAUUUGGGUAAUCUUUUUAGUGAGCACCGUGCUUGGGAUAGAUCUUUGUAAUUAUGGAUCUUGAACUAGGAAUUCCUAGUAAGCGCUGGUCAUCAGCCAGUGCUGAUUACGUCCCUGCAAAAUGUACACACCGCCCGUCGCUAUUACCGAUUGAGUGCUAAGGUGAACCUUCUCGAUAGUGCAAACUAAAAAUUAAGUAAACCUUAGUACUUAGAGGAAAUAAAAGUCGUAACAAGGUUUCCGUAGGUGAACCUGCGGAAGGAUCAUUCAUAAUUUAAUUAUAAUGUAUUUCUUGAAUACAACGUUCAUUUGUUAGGGCUUCGGCUUUAACAAAGUAUACCUAUUUCAUAGGUUUUAAUACGUUACUAAAUAUCCUUAAAAAUUAUUAAAUUUUCAACGAUGGAUAUCUAGGUUCCUAUAACGAUGAAGAACGCAGCGAAGUGCGAUAAGCAAUGCGAAUUGCAGAACCGCGAGUCAUCAGAUUUUUGAACGCAAGUGGCGGCAGCUUCGGCUGUCAUGGUUGUUUCAGUGUGUCCGGUUAAUUACAUCAAAGAAUAUAAUGUGAUUGAAGAGAUUCUCUCACAAAAUAUGGGGAAGUGUCAAUGAAGACUCCAAACGAACUAGUCACUAAAUGGUGAUAAUCGUUUGAGGAUUGGAAUUGGUGAAUCAUUUCUCGAUAAGAAAUUAUCCAAUUAUGGCACCUGAAAUAAGCAAGAGUACCCGCUGAACUUAA